UACGUAGGGUGCAAGCGUUGUCCGGAAUUAUUGGGCGUAAAGAGCUCGUAGGCGGUUUGUCGCGUCUGCUGUGAAAUCCGGAGGCUCAACCUGCGGCCUGCAGUGGGUACGGGCAGACUAGAGUGCGGUAGGGGAGAUUGGAAUUCCUGGUGUAGCGGUGAAAUGCGCAGAUAUCAGGAGGAACACCGAUGGCGAAGGCAGGUCUCUGGGCCACUACUGACGCUGAGAAGCGAAAGCAUGGGGAGCGAACAGG
rnacentral:rRNA from 1 species